rnacentral:rRNA from 1 species
AGCUCAAAUUUGAAAUCUGGCGUCUUCGACGUCCGAGUUGUAAUUUGAAGAAGGCGACUUUGUAGCUGGUCCUUGUCUAUGUUCCUUGGAACAGGACGUCAUAGAGGGUGAGAAUCCCGUGUGGCGAGGAUCCCAGUUAUUUGUAAAGUGCUUUCGACGAGUCGAGUUGUUUGGGAAUGCAGCUCUAAGUGGGUGGUAAAUUCCAUCUAAAGCUAAAUAUUGGCGAGAGACCGAUAGCGAACAAGUACAGUGAUGGAAAGAUGAAAAGAACUUUGAAAAGAGAGUGAAAAAGUACGUGAAAUUGUUGAAAGGGAAGGGCAUUUGAUCAGACAUGGCGUUUGCUUCGGCUUUCGCUGGGCCAGCAUCAGUUUUAGCGGUUGGAUAAAUCCUCGGGAAUGUGGCUCUGCUUCGGUAGAGUGUUAUAGCCCGUGGGAAUACAGCCAGCUGGGACUGAGGAUUGCGACUUUUGUCAAGGAUGCUGGCGUAAUGGUUAAAUGCCGCC